AGUGGCGAAAGGGUGAGUAACGCGUGAGUGAUCUGCCCCCAAGUCUGGAAUAACUGUUGGAAACGGCAGCUAAUACCGGAUGUGAUAACGAAGCUGCAUGGUUUUGUUAUUAAAGGUUUACUGCUUGGGGAUGAGCUCGCGUCCCAUUACGCUUGUUGGUAAGGUAACGGCUUACCAAGGCUGUAACGGGUAGGUGGUCUGAGAGGAUGGUCACCCACACUGGGACUGAGACACUGCCCAGACUCCUGCGGGAGGCUGCAGUCGAGAAUCUUCCGCAAUGCGCGCAAGCGUGACGGAGCAAUGCCGCGUGAAGGAUGAAGGCUUUCGGGUCGUAAACUUCUGUCAGGGGGGAAAAACCUUGAUGGUACCCCCAGAGGAAGCCACGGCUAACUACGUGCCAGCAGCCGCGGUAAUACGUAGGUGGCGAGCGUUAUUCGGAUUUACUGGGCGUAAAGGGUCCGUAGGGGGAUACUUAAGUCUGAUGUGAAAUUUCAGGGCUCAACCCUGAACCUGCAUUGGAAACUGAGUAUCUGGAAUCCGGUAGAGGUAAGUGGAAUUUGUGGUGUAGCGGUGGAAUGCGUAGAUAUCACAAGGAACACCAAAGGCGAAAGCAGCUUACUGGGCCGGUAUUGA
rnacentral:rRNA from 1 species